GCGAGAGUGGCGGAAUUGGCAGACGCGCCAGACUUAGGAUCUGGUGGGAGACCAUGGGGGUUCGAUUCCCCCCUCUCGCACCA
rnacentral:tRNA from 1 species